GACAUGCGACAGGAAGAGCAAAGCAAAUCAUUCCACACCCUCCACCAGUUCCUCCAACUUGUGAGACAAGCAACCCCUUGGUCUGCCCUAUUUGUGUAACGAAUCCAAGGGACUGGGCCUUCGGCUGUGGGCACGUGACUUGUAGAGACAGUGGGGCGAGAUCGCCCAGAUGUCCAAUGUGUCGUAAAGACAUCACAGGAAGUCAUAUGGUGUACCUCUAGUGACUGCUCCUAGAGAAUUGAAAAUGUUAUUUGGAGUUUGGACUUUGUAUGGGAGAGUUCUCUCCCUCUCCAAUAAUACAUAGAUUACAUGCACAUCAUACUACAUACACUACAUAUUAUUAAAUGAACAUUAGACUGCAAAUUGCGUACUGGGCUACUGACUCGGUAGCAUGGGAUUCAAUUCCAGGCCACCUGAGUGUGGGGAAAGAUAUGUAAAUUAAGGAAAAACAAUAUUUACCGAUUUUUAUCACCAAUAAGUGGCGUUUGAAAGACAA